GAGGAGUGUUCUCUGCUGCUCUGUUGGGUGCUGUCUGCCUUGAAAAGAUCCGGCUGCUAAACUGAACAAGAUCUACCAGGAUGAUUUCAUGCCUACCACUCCAAGUUCCCCAGCUCUCUCUUCAGCAGAAGGAGAUGGAGCCUUUGGAGGUGAUUUGGAUUAGAUGAGCUGAAGAAAGUUGAACCCUCAUGAAUGGGAUCAGUGCCAUUUUAAGAGUCAUGAGAGAGCAUGCUUCUCUCUCCGCUCCCCUCCAUGUGAAGAUACAGUGAAAAGAUAGCUGUCUAGAAAGUAGGCUCUCAUCAGACAACAAAUCUGCCAGCAGCAUGAUCUUGGACUUCCCAGC